GAUGAACGCUGGCGGCGUGCCUAAUACAUGCAAGUCGAGCGAACAGACGAGGAGCUUGCUCCUCUGACGUUAGCGGGGGACGGGUGAGUAACACGUGGAUAACCUACCUAUAAGACUGGGAUAACUUCGGGAAACCGGAGCUAAUACCGGAUAAUAUAUUGAACCGCAUGGUUCAAUAGUGAAAGACGGUUUUGCUGUCACUUAUAGAUGGAUCCGCGCCGCAUUAGCUAGUUGGUAAGGUAACGGCUUACCAAGGCAACGAUGCGUAGCCGACCUGAGAGGGUGAUCGGCCACACUGGAACUGAGACACGGUCCAGACUCCUACGGGAGGCAGCAGUAGGGAAUCUUCCGCAAUGGGCGAAAGCUUGACGGAGCAACGCCGCGUGAGUGAUGAAGGUCUUCGGAUCGUAAAACUCUGUUACUAGGGAAGAACAAAUGUGUAAGUAACUAUGCACGUCUUGACGGUACCUAAUCAGAAAGCCACGGCUAACUACGUG
rnacentral:rRNA from 1 species